UUGGAGGGCAAGUCUGGUGCCAGCAGCCGCGGUAAUUCCAGCUCCAAUAGCGUAUAUUAAAGUUGUUGCAGUUAAAAAGCUCGUAGUUGAAUUUCGGAAUUUUUUUAUCGGUUGAAUCAACAGGUUCGUACUGAUUUUAAGAAUUUCUACCUUCUGGAGAACCUUAAUGUCAUUUAUUUGAUGUUUUGGGAAACCAGGACUGUUACCUUGAAAAAAUUAGAGUGUUUAAAGCAGGCUUAUGUCUGAAUAUAUUAGCAUGGAAUAAUGAAAUAGGACGGCAUGGUUCUAUUUUGUUGGUUUCUAGGAUCACCGUAAUGAUUAAUAGGGAUAGUUGGGGGCAUUAGUAUUCAAUUGUCAGAGGUGAAAUUCUUGGAUUUAUUGAAGACUAACUUCUGCGAAAGCAUUUGCCAAGGAUGUUUUCAUUAAUCAAGAACGAAAGUUAGGGGAUCGAAGACGAUCAGAUACCGUCGUAGUCUUAACCAUAAACUAUGCCGACUAGGAAUCGGACGAAGUUAAUUUUUUAAUGACUCGUUCGGCGCCUUACGGGAAAC
rnacentral:rRNA from 2 species